rnacentral:rRNA from 1 species
AUACAGAGGGUGCGAGCGUUAAUCGGAUUUACUGGGCGUAAAGCGCGCGUAGGCGGCCAGAUAAGUCGGAUGUGAAAGCCCCGGGCUCAACCUGGGAAUUGCAUUCGAUACUGUCUGGCUAGAGUAUGGUAGAGGGAAGUGGAAUUCCACAUGUAGCGGUGAAAUGCGUAGAUAUGUGGAGGAACACCAGUGGCGAAGGCGGCUUCCUGGCCCAAUACUGACGCUGAGGCGCGAAAGCGUGGGGAGCAAACAGGAUUAGAUACCCGAGUAGUCC